GGAUGCGAUCAUACCAGCACUAAAGCACCGGAUCCCAUCAGAACUCUGAAGUUAAGCGUGCUUGGGCGAGAGUAGUACUAGGAUGGGUGACCUCCUGGGAGGUCCUCGUGUUGCAUUCC
rnacentral:rRNA from 1 species